rnacentral:rRNA from 1 species
GACGACCUCAGUUCGGAUUGAAGGCUGAAAUUCGCCUUCAUGAAGUCGGAAUUGCUAGUAAUGGCAGGUCAGCAUACUGCCGUGAAUACGUUCCCGGGCCUUGUACACACCGCCCGUCACACCAUGAGAGUUGGAGAUACCCGAAGCCUAUGAGCUAACUUUUAGAGGCAGUAGUCGAAGGUAGAAUCAAUGAUUGGGGUGAAGUCGUAACAAGGUAAC